rnacentral:precursor_RNA from 12 species
UACUGCCCACCUAAACCAAAGGUCACAAUCAACAUUCAUUGCUGUCGGUGGGUUGUAAACUGUGAGGAAAAACUCACCGAUGGAUGAAUGUCACUGUGGCUGGGCCAGACCUGGACCUGGAGAG